GCGCGCGGGGCUGCGGGGAGGAACCUGCGUCCUCCGCUUCUCCCCGGCCGGGCCCGGGUGCCCCGCUCGGGGCCGGGGCGCUGGGGAAGGAAGGCGGGGGGGGCCGGGAAGCCCCUUCUCAGCCCGGCGGGUCGGGAGCGCUGCGGGGCGCGGAGCCGUGGUCACCGUGCGGGCGCUGCCCCGCCGCCACCUACCUCCCACUCGGAACAUCUGUGAGAGCUGAAAGAAAGCCCUUGGGAGGCUGCAGCACUAUCCGGCUGGUUCCCCCCAGACACAACAGCACUGCUGUAUCGGGGACCAAAUAAAAGAAGCUAGAAGUUAGGUGGGGGGUUAUUUUCACUCUUGUGGUUUACUGCCUGGUUAGUGAAACAGAGGAUAAAAUUUGAAGGCAGGAGAGUAGUAAAAGCAAAUAGUUGGCUUGUCGCAGUUGUUAUCAAUUAAACAAAACACCUUCGAGCUCCUUCCCUCAGUUGAAGCCUGCACUGUGACAUGAGAGGAAUUUCCCACGCUCUGAAGCUUACCACGUCCUCAUCCAGCAAGGAGUGAAUUUCAGUGGAAGCAGACUCUCCCUCCCGUGAACUGAAGGCGUGGCUUAGAUAUGAGGAGGGCAGCUUCUGAAGGUACAGAAUUUGCCUUUCCAAAAUCGUGAGCAAACAAACAGCCCAGGAAUUCCCACAGUCCCGAGCUGCCCCUCCAGGAUGACAGCCUGAAAGCAGCAAGAUAAAACCUUAUUUAUAGCUGCCUGACUUAGGCAUGCGUAACAGCCCAAAUAAAUAAAGAAUGCCAUUUGUAUACCUUA